AGCGGAGGAAAAGAAACCAACAGGGAUUGCCCUAGUAACGGCGAGUGAAGCGGCAACAGCUCAAAUUUGAAAUCUGGCUCUCGGGCCCGAGUUGUAAUUUGUAGAGGAUGCUUUUGGUGCGGUGCCUUCCGAGUGCCCUGGAACGGGACGCCAUAGAGGGUGAGAGCCCCGUCUGGUUGGAUGCCAAUCCUCUGUAAAGCUCCUUCGACGAGUCGAGUAGUUUGGGAAUGCUGCUCUAAAUGGGAGGUAUAUGUCUUCUAAAGCUAAAUACCGGCCAGAGACCGAUAGCGCACAAGUAGAGUGAUCGAAAGAUGAAAAGCACUUUGAAAAGAGAGUUAAAAAGUACGUGAAAUUGUUGAAAGGGAAGCGUUUAUGACCAGACUUGGGCUUGGUUAAUCAUCCAGGGUUCUCCCUGGUGCACUUUUCCAGUCCAGGCCAGCAUCAGUUUGCUUCGGGGGAUAAAGGCUUCGGGAAUGUGGCUCUCUCCGGGGAGUGUUAUAGCCCGUUGCGUAAUACCCUGGGGCGGACUGAGGUACGCGCUUCUGCAAGGAUGCUGGCGUAAUGGUCAUCAACGACCCGUA
rnacentral:rRNA from 1 species